UUUCCAACUUCAAUCUAACACUUACAAAGUGAUAAUGAAUACUUGGAUUAGAAUUUAAUACUUAAAAGGUGAAUAAUUUUUUCCAGAUAGAUUAAUGUUAAUGUUAAUGUUCUUGAACAUAGAUUAUCUUUCUCAAGAGGUCAACAACGGAUUCACAUUCUUGCAAUAUGAAGAGCUCCCAAUCCAAAAGGCAUCCCGUCUAUUUUUCAGAUCAAAUUAAACUGCACAAACAUUAUCAAAUGUAGCUACCAAUACAGAUAUGGAAGAAUUGCGCAAGUCCUUACAUCCACACAAGAACCUAAAAGAAGGGAGACAAUUAGAACAAAGAGUAAGAGGAAAGCAACUUAUUGGGCACAUUUCAUCGAGUUUUUAGAAGAUGGAAAACUACGAGCUGAAUGUAGGUAGUGUGAGAAAACUUUUGCUGCUGAUGGUAAUCUUAAUGGAUUAAAGAAUGUUAAGAAUCAUUAUGAAAGAAGUUUUGGUAAUCCUCUUAAUAAAGAAAAGAGUAAAGGAAAGCAAAGUGAGAUAUUUUUUUCAACAUGGGGAAGGAGAUAAAGAUAAUGAGGAUGAGAAAUUGAAGUAUGGGACUGUAAAUGUAAAAGAUGUUAGGGAAGCAUUAAUUCAUAUGAUUAUUGUUGAUGAGCUUCCAUUUAAACAUGUGGGAAAAGCUGGUUUUAAGCAUUUUGUGCAAGUUGCUUGUCCCAGAUUUCACAUUCCAUCUCGUACUACUAUUGCUUGUGAUUGUUUGCAACUUGACUUUAGUGAAAAGAAGUUGAAAGAAACUUUAAGGAGUUGUCAAAGAAUUUGUGUGACAACUGAUACUUGGACAUAAUUAUAUGUGUCUCACUGUUCAUUUCAUUGAUAACGAUUGAAAAUUAAAUAAAAAGAUAAUAAAUUUUUGUCCAAUUUCUAGUCAUAAAGGUGAGGCCAUUGGUAAAGCUGUUGAGGGAUGCUUAGAACAUUGGGGUAUUGAGGAUAAGCUUUUUACCGUUACAGUUGACAAUGCUAGCUCUAAUGACCUUGCUUGUGCUCAUUUAAAAAGAAUGGUUCAACGAACUGGUUGUGUUAUUGGUGGAAAUUUUCUUCAUGUUAUAUGCAUUGCUCAUAUUAUUAAUAUUAUUGUUUGGGAUGACAUUAGGGAGCAUGGUGUAUGCAUUGAUAGGGUUAGAAAUGCUUUAAAGUAUGUUAAAAAUUCCCCUGCAAGAAUACUUAGAUUUAAAGAACUUGUUUCAAAGGCAAAUAUACAAAGCAAGUCUUCUUUGUCAUUUGAUGUCCCCACCCGAUGGAACUCAACCUACACUAUGUUAGAUAUGGCUUUGAAAUUUCAACGUGUCUUUAGUAGGAUAUCCCUUCCUGAUGGGGAGGUUGUGAAGGAUAACGAAAGGCCUCCGGAAUGUGAUAAUUGGAAAAAAAGUAGAGAGAUUAGUAGUGUUUUUGAAGGGAUUUUACCUUUUAAGUCGUCGUAUUUCGAGUUCACUUUAUGUGACAAGUAAUAAAGGUUUAUUUGAGAUUGUGGCCAUUUAUGAUAUGUUGAACAAAUGGGUAGAACAUUCUGAUUUGGAUUUUCAAGCCAUGGGUCUUGCAAUGAAAGCAAAAUAUGAUAAAUAUUGGGGAAAUGUGGACGAAAUGAAUAUGUUUAUCUAUAUUGUUGUGGUUCUUGAUCCUCACUCCAAAUUGGAGGUUGUUGAAUUGACACUUUGUGAUAUGUAUGGAAAAGAAAAGGGCUUGGAGCUUGCUAAUCAUGUGAAGGAAUAUGCUUAUACUUUAUUUGAUGAGUAUAGAGCUGCAUAUUCUUCUUCUAUUCCUUCAAGUGGACAAAGUGGGAAUUCCAUGUCAAUUGAUGUGGAUGAUGAUGAUAACAUAGGAGGGUGGAGUCAACUACAUGAAAAGUCUCAUGGAUAGAGCAAAGAGGUUGAAAGGAUCGAGUGGAUAUGUGAGGAAUGAGUUUGAAAGGUAUUUGAAUGAACAACUAGGUAGUGAGGAAGAAGAUUUGGAUACAUUAUCUUGGUGGGCUCGUAAUGAACACCGUUAUCCAAUUGUUUCACGCAUGGCUCAUGACAUACUAGCCAUCCCUUUGUCCACCGUUACAUCGAAAUCCGCUUUUAGUGCGGGAAGUCGUCAUCUUGAUCCAUUUAGGAGCUCCUUGACUCCUGAGGUAAUACAUUUCAUUCAUGGAAAACAAGUUGCUCUAUCGUUUUUAUAUAGUUUGGAUGUGUUAUAAUUUUAUUUCAUUUUUUUGUAACAUGGUUCAAACUCUAAUUUGUACACAAGAUUGGCUUAGAGCAAAGGGAAUGUCGAGAGUUAAUGUGGACGAAAAUAUAAAAGCGUUGGAGGAAAUUGAGAAAGAUGUGCAAUGUAAUGAUUUGGAUGAUGAUGUCGAUCUUGUAUACUCCUUUGUGUGAUCGAAUUGGAGAAAAAAGAAAAUCUUGAAGAUUUGUGAUUGUCAAGUUAUUUUGAAGAUAUUAUGUAGUUUAUGUUAAUAUUGCCUAAACUUAAGAACUUGAACUUUUAAAGUUAUUUUGUUUUUCAAAGUGAUGACUUUUAAAAUUAAUUAUUGUGUAUUAAGUUGGAUUGUUGAGGACUUGAUGUUACAAAUUGAUGUAUUGAACAUUUGAGCUUGUUAUUAAGUUUUGAACAAACUUUGGCA